GUGCUCGCUUCGGCAGCACAUAUACUAAAAUUGGAACGAUACAGAGAAGAUUAGCAUGGCCCCUGCGCAAUCGAAGAAGAUAUCAGAAGAUGGAAAGAUCUCCCGUGCUCAU